rnacentral:rRNA from 1 species
UUGGAGGGCAAGUCUGGUGCCAGCAGCCGCGGUAAUUCCAGCUCCAAUAGCGUAUAUUAAAGUUGUUGCAGUUAAAAAGCUCGUAGUUGAAUUUCGGGAUCAAUUUAUUGGUCGUGCUAUUGUACGUACUGGUAUUAUUGAUUCCUACCUUCUGACGAACCAUGAUGUCAUUAAUUUGGUGUCAUGGGGAAUCAGGACUGUUACUUUGAAAAAAUUAGAGUGUUUAAAGCAGGCUCACGCUUGAAUACAUUAGCAUGGAAUAACGAAAUAGGACGUUUGAUUCUAUUUUGUUGGUUUCUAGGAUCGACGUAAUGAUUAAUAGGGAUAGUUGGGGGCAUUAGUAUUCAAUUGUCAGAGGUGAAAUUCUUGGAUUUAUUGAAGACUAACUACUGCGAAAGCAUUUGCCAAGGAUGUUUUCAUUAAUCAAGAACGAAAGUUAGGGGAUCGAAGACGACCAGAUACCGUCGUAGUCUUAACCAUAAACUAUGCCGACUAGGGAUCGGAUGAUGUUAAUUUUUUAAUGACUCAUUCGGCGCCUUACGGGAAAC